UGAUCCUGGCUCAGGACGAACGCUGGCGGCGUGCUUAACACAUGCAAGUCGAACGGAAAGGCCCUUUCGGGGGUACUCGAGUGGCGAACGGGUGAGUAACACGUGGGUGAUCUGCCCUGCACUUUGGGAUAAGCCUGGGAAACUGGGUCUAAUACCGAAUAUGAUCACGCGCCUCAUGGUGUGUGGUGGAAAGCUUUUGCGGUGUGGGAUGGGCCCGCGGCCUAUCAGCUUGUUGGUGGGGUAAUGGCCUACCAAGGCGACGACGGGUAGCCGGCCUGAGAGGGUGUCCGGCCACACUGGGACUGAGAUACGGCCCAGACUCCUACGGGAGGCAGCAGUGGGGAAUAUUGCACAAUGGGCGCAAGCCUGAUGCAGCGACGCCGCGUGGGGGAUGACGGCCUUCGGGUUGUAAACCUCUUUCAGUAUCGGCGAAGCUCCAGGGUUUUCUUUGGGGUGACGGUANGUACAGAAGAAGCACCGGCCAACUACGUGCCAGCAGC
rnacentral:rRNA from 1 species